UGGUCCAUUCGAAAGUAGUGCCUAUUUCUAAAGAGUUCCUUUUCUCUUCUUGAAUAUAAGCCAUUUAACAAUGUGAGACAUGACUUUUGUGGUUAUUUGUAAUAUCCUGUAUGUGUCUGGAGUACUUUGAUGCCUUGGAUUGGAAGCUAACUUAAAAGAUGAACUUUUGAGGGUGUGUUUUCUAUUGUGUGGGGCUUUUGUCGAAAUUAGGAUUCCGAAACACGUUUUUCUACGGUGGGUUCAUUCGACAGCGAUUUACUUUCUUAGAAGUUGCGAGACGGUAUGUUUUUGAUUGCAAUUAUUGGAAGAUGACAGAUCCAUCUUUAAAAUGAUACCAGGUUCGGAAAAAUUGAUACGUCGGAAAGGCAAGAAAAAUGCUGUGAAAGUUGUCAGUUUUAUAAUGGGACCCUAUGGGAAUCGGAAUUAGUGUAAUAUAACCUUAAAAAAGCACAUUUACUGCAAUGUCAAGGUCACAUGGAUUCGUCUGCAAGCGAGACAAGUAGAAAAUGAAUUUUAAUGAAUGUUUUGAUGAUUUGGGUGCUAAAAUAGAUGAGAGGUGUCAAUAUUUUGGUCCAAAUGGAUGUUUUAGGUGGUUUUAGACGGUUCCGGAUGGGUGGGGGACCUGGUAUGGACAAGUAAGGGUAACAUUUCCAACAAAUCUUAAAUGUAAAUAUUAUUAUGUCCAUAGAUUGAAGUUUCAGGUGGAGAGCAAGAUGAAAAAUAUGCAAAAUUACAUGCAUGCAACCCAUUUAUGCCAUUUUUCUCUUUGUUUGUAGGCCUGACCGUUUGUCCUUGAGCCGUAGAUGGUCAACAAUCCGCUAGCUGUCUUGCUCUGACUGGUGCACUGGACAUGAUUUCAAUAGUCAGCCAGACCAUGAUUGAGCUUAAGGAUUGUGCUGCGGAUGCAGCCUGUGCAGUUCCGGGAGAAAGUCACUGUCUCGGGCAAUGCGGUCUGGUAUCAGGUCUGGAUGAUCCUUGCCUGACUGCGGGUUUGUGUACACCUCAAUCCGACUCUGUGUCCUGAACAGAGGCCGCAGUGGUGCAGCGCUUGUGGACGAUCCAUCAACAUCCUGAAAGGUCAACACUACACCAAGCUGGGAAAAUUGAUCCUGAUAGUCAUCCCCAGGUAGUGGAAUGAAUGUUCACUGAACUACAGAGGAAUCACAUCCAAAUGACUUUCCUGCCACGACAUUAGUGUGGCCACUCGCGUAGGAAUUCCUUAGCAAACAUGCUCUUUUGCAUGGUGACUGUGGACAUUUUUGCAAAACUUACGCUUUCAACACUGGAUUUUAAAGAGAAUACUUAAUAAAAUGUCGCUAACAGGACUUAUUUAUAUGAGAGAGACUAUCUGGAUGCGCAUUAAGUGUCACUUUGUGUCGUAAGCUGUUGAAGGAGCGAUUUGCGCCUUUUUAAGUGUUAAUUUUGGGUAGCCGGCUUGUAUCAGCUUGAAAGCUGAAAAUUAUGCCUCUCAUCAUAAUAGCAUUAAUUUUUGUAAUUGCAGUGUGUAUGUUUAGAUUGUAAGUGAAGCUUUUAAUAAUAAUUUUCUUAAAAAACAUGA